rnacentral:rRNA from 1 species
GGCUUGGGCGCAGCUACACAUGCAGUCGAGCGGUAGCACAGAAGAGCUUGCUCUUUGGGUGACGAGCGGCGGACGGGUGAGUAAUGUCUGGGAAACUGCCUGAUGGAGGGGGAUAACUACUGGAAACGGUAGCUAAUACCGCAUAACGUCGCAAGACCAAAGUGGGGGACCUUCGGGCCUCAUGCCAUCAGAUGUGCCCAGAUGGGAUUAGCUAGUAGGUGAGGUAAUGGCUCACCUAGGCGACGAUCCCUAGCUGGUCUGAGAGGAUGACCAGCCACACUGGAACUGAGACACGGUCCAGACUCCUACGGGAGGCAGCAGUGGGGAAUAUUGCACAAUGGGCGCAAGCCUGAUGCAGCCAUGCCGCGUGUAUGAAGAAGGCCUUCGGGUUGUAAAGUACUUUCAGCGAGGAGGAAGGCGUUAAGGUUAAUAACCUUAGCGAUUGACGUUACUCGCAGAAGAAGCACCGGCUAACUCCGUGCCAGCAGCCGCGGUAAUACGGAGGGUGCAAGCGUUAAUCGGAAUUACUGGGCGUAAAGCGCACGCAGGCGGUCUGUCAAGUCGGAUGUGAAAUCCCCGGGCUCAACCUGGGAACUGCAUCCGAAACUGGCAGGCUAGAGUCUUGUAGAGGGGGGUAGAAUUCCAGGUGUAGCGGUGAAAUGCGUAGAGAUCUGGAGGAAUACCGGUGGCGAAGGCGGCCCCCUGGACAAAGACUGRCGCUCAGGUGCGAAAGCGUGGGGAGCAAACAGGAUUAGAUACCCUGGUAGUCCACGCUGUAAACGAUGUCGACUUGGAGGUUGUUCCCUUGAGGAGUGGCUUCCGGAGCUAACGCGUUAAGUCGACCGCCUGGGGAGUACGGCCGCAAGGUUAAAACUCAAAUGAAUUGACGGGGGCCCGCACAAGCGGUGGAGCAUGUGGUUUAAUUCGAUGCAACGCGAAGAACCUUACCUACUCUUGACAUCCAGAGAACUUAGCAGAGAUGCUUUGGUGCCUUCGGGAACUCUGAGACAGGUGCUGCAUGGCUGUCGUCAGCUCGUGUUGUGAAAUGUUGGGGUUAAGUCCCGCAACGAGCGCAACCCUUAUCCUUUGUUGCCAGCGGUUCGGCCGGGAACUCAAAGGARACUGCCAGUGAUAAACUGGAGGAAAGGUGGGGAUGAACKUCAAGUCAUCAUGGCCCUUACGAGUAGGGCUACACACGUGCUACAAUGGCAUAUACAAAGAGAAGCGACCUCGCGAGAGCAAGCGGACCUCAUAAAGUAUGUCGUAGUCCGGAUCGGAGUCUGCAACUCGACUCCGUGAAGUCGGAAUCGCUAGUAAUCGUGGAUCAGAAUGCCACGGUGAAUACGUUCCCGGGCCUUGUACACACCGCCCGUCACACCAUGGGAGUGGGUUGCAAAAGAAGUAGGUAGCUUAACCUUCGGGAGGGCGCUACCACCUUGGAUACAGGGCCUU